rnacentral:rRNA from 1 species
CCGCACGCGCGCUACACUGACAGAGCCAACGAGUUCUUCACCUUGGCCGAAAGGUCUGGGUAAUCUUGUUAAACUCUGUCGUGCUGGGGAUAGAGCAUUGCAAUUAUUGCUCUUCAACGAGGAAUGCCUAGUAAGCGCGUGUCAUCAGCAUGCGUUGAUUACGU